GACCCUAUAGCUCAGUGGUAGAGCGCACGAUUGCAAAUCGUGCGGUCCCGUGUUCGAACCACGGUAGUGUCU
rnacentral:tRNA from 2 species